AAGCAGAGACCACGGUUUCCCCUCCGGAGGCUGCUGCGUCGUUCCCCCAGUGGCCGGCAGGUGGUGCUGUGUCCCCGGCGUGCCUGUCCUCCCGGCUUGGAAGGUGCUGGAAGCUGGCCUGCAGCCCUGAGACACCCGAAUCCUGCCAAGGCCCGGUUGUGGCUGUCCUCCAGCCUCUGCUGGUGGCUUCUGCCGGGGACAGGAUGCCCCCCAGUCCUGGCAGAGCCGCACCAGGUCACGGCCUGCAGCUUAUGUCCCAGCUCCUUGCGAGCUGAGCGGCUUCUCCGCUGCCCAGGGGCCUGUUCCCUGCGGCCCGGGGGUUUCAUCCUCCCCCACCCCCCACUUCUCUGGCUGUGGGUGCAGCACGCCCAUCAGGUCAGGUGUUCCCCGCACAGCUGUGCAGAGCAGGCUCCUGUCGUGCAGAUUGGAGAACUUUGUGGCUGGGUUAUGGAGCAGGAGAGAGACUUACUCUGGGUGUCCUUUCUACUCUUUGCAUUUUGAACCACUGGGGCAGCCCUGGUGGCAGGAGCGGGACCUCCUGCGGGUGCAGCACCAGCUUCUGGGGCGGCUCCACCUGCCUCUACAGAGGAGGCUCACGGCGUUGGCAUCGGCCAGGGUCCUUGCAAAAGGCCUGGCCCGAAAGGUUCAACGUGUGCACCCGCUGCUUUGGCGAGGGCGUCGAUCCCAGGCCCUGCGACCGUCCCCUCAUGGGUGCGUGGGCCAAGGCAGAGCCAGGGCGGAGGCUUCGGUGUGGGGGGAGCCGAGCGGGCCUGGCGGGCGUGGGGCUCAUCGGCCAGGAGGUGAGGGCCUCACCCCGGUGUGGCACCUGAGCGGCAGCCGAGCUGGGGGCCGGGAUCCUCUCUUCCCUGGGAUCCUCUUCUCUGUCGGGGUUUCACGCAUCGUCUGGAACGAUCCGGGUGGGGAAGCUGCUCAGGGAGGCUGAGCACCUCGCGCAUGGUCACCGAGGAGCGGGCCUGGAAUCUGGCCGUCGGGCUGCGGACCGGCUCCCCCCACGCUGCUCCCCGUCUCUGCUGGAGAUGCGCCCUCUGUCCGGCUGCUGCUCCUCACUUGCGAGAACACUCACGACGAUUCUGGGCACAAAAUGACUGGAGGCCUUGGAGCCAAGAGCCACAAUCUCCUGGCAACACGGGCUGCCUGGACAGGCUCCUCCACCGAGUUCGGCGCCGGCUGGGAGGGUGCGGGUCCUCACCUGUGGGCUCCCCCUCCUCUCGUGCUCCUCCUCAGGCCUCCUUUUUCUCUCUUCUCCCAGCCUCCUUCUGGCCUCUCUCUCGGGCCCUGAGCCCAACUGCCCCUGAGCUAUUUGCCAGGAAAUAGGGGUGGGGGUGGGGUAGGUCUGAGCUCUCUGCUUUUAUUUAUUUUUUUUUAAGAUUUUAUUUAUUCAUGAGAGACAGAGAGAGACAGGCAGAGACACAGGCAGAGGGAGAAGCAGGCUCCCUGCAGGGAGCCCGAUGGGGAACUCGAUCCCGGGACUCCAGGGUCAUGCCCUGGGCUGAAGGCAGACGCUCAACUGCUGAGCCACUGGACGCCCCACUUCUGCUGCUUGGAUGCAGGAGGCCGAGCUGACACAGCUGCCUGGGGGGAUGGAGGCCAGCUCCUGCCCCCACGGGCCCCUCUGACCCCCUCCCUGCCCCCCCACCCCCGACCCCGGAGCAGUCACCAGGAGGAGGCCUGGGUAAUUGGUUCCAUCCAAGACUUGUUCUCAGUGGCGCGAAAGGGAAAGUUAUAAAUAUUUUUAUCUAUAACUCACGACGAAUAAAAAUUUAAUUACACUGAAAAAUUUAAAUUUC
rnacentral:lncRNA from 12 species